rnacentral:rRNA from 1 species
GACGUAGGGCGCAAGCGUUGUCCGGAUUUAUUGGGCGUAAAGAGCUCGUAGGCGGCUUGUCGCGUCGACUGUGAAAACCUGCGGCUCAACCGUACGGUCUGCAGUCGAUACGGGCAGGCUAGAAUUCGGUAGGGGAGACUGGAAUUCCUGGUGUAGCGGUGAAAUGCGUAGAUAUCUGGAGGAACACCGGCGGCGAAGGCGGCAUCCUGGACCAACACUGACGCUGAUGAGCGAAAGCCAGGGGAGCAAACGGG